AGCAGCAGCCGCGGUAAUACGAAGGGGGCUAGCGUUGUUCGGAAUUACUGGGCGUAAAGCGCACGUAGGCGGAUAUUUAAGUCAGGGGUGAAAUCCCGCAGCUCAACUGCGGAACUGCCUUUGAUACUGGGUAUCUUGAGUAUGGAAGAGGUUAGUGGAAUUGCGAGUGUAGAGGUGAAAUUCGUAGAUAUUCGCAGGAACACCAGUGGCGAAGGCGGCUAACUGGUCCAUAACUGACGCUGAGGUGCGAAAGCGUGGGGAGCAAACAGGAUUAGAUACCCCAGUAGUCCCUGUCUCUUAUAC
rnacentral:rRNA from 1 species